AACAUUUCCUCCUUUUCUACUUUUUGGAAGAUUUUCUAACACUGGUAUUAUUUCUGCUUUAAAGCUUGUAUAGAGUUGGCUGGUGAAAUCAUCUGGGCCUGAAGAUUUCUUUUCCAGAAGGCUUCAACUAUGAAUUCAAUUUCUUUAAUUAUAAUAGGACUGUUUAUCUAUUUAAACUUGAGCGAGUUUUGGUAGUUCGUGGUAUUUAAGGCCUUUUUGAUCUUUACAAUAAUUCUGUGAAGUAGCUAAACCAGAUAGUCUGAACUCACUGCUCGGAACAGAUCCUAUUAUUAUAUAGGAGAAGCUUAGUUAAUUUUAGUAGGAUGAAUUUGUUAAAAGAACUCCGUUUCACAAAUGAGGAAACUAGGGUUCAGAGUGGUGAAAUAACUUGGUGAAAAUUAUUUAGCUCAUAAGCGCUAAUGCUAGGAUUCAAACUCCAAAACAAAAAUAGCUUUUGAAGAAGAAAGAAAAAAUAAGAAGGGAACUAGUUCAGCAUCUGUUUUGUGCCAGAAGUGGAGCAUCAGUGGAUGCUUUCAUUUAACAUCUCAUAUAAAUUCUGACAGCAAUCCUGUGAUACAGGUGUUGCUAUCUUCAUUUAAAUUCAAGGGAAAUAAAGCUCUAUAUUAGUCAGGGUCCUAGCCAGAAAUACGGUACACUUAUGUUAGGGCAAUUUGAGGAGGGUUUAAUAAAGGGACUAUUUACAAGGUAUAGGCAGGGUGUGGGGAAACUGCAAGGGGUAGUGAAAUAGCCUGGGGCUAGUAUGUAGGGCUUUUACCCCAUCACUGCCACCCAGGCCCAAAGGGACGAAGGAAAGGAGACGCUAGAAAGAGAGAGCAUGUGGAAAAAGAGGCUCUAGAGCAGGUAGCCUUCAGAUGAGCAGUGGUAUUUGGUCAAGGGACAUAGCUAACUCCCCACGGGGGGACUCCACAGGGAGGAAGAAACACUCUUCUCUCAAUCUUUGAUCGCUGGCCAGAGUUCCCUUCUGGCCAAAGCUAACCAGAAGCCAGAGGCCAGUCAGGCCUGUUGAUGUAAUCCAUACCAGUUUCCUGAGGAGGAAAGCAGGACAGAGUGAAUCCAGACGAUAAAGAUGUUGAAUAACUUGUCCAGGGUCACAUGGCAACCUGCUAAGAGGCAGAUUUAGAAGUCAAGUUCCAGAGUUCCAGUUCUUGACGUUGUACUUGUCCACCUUCCCCAAGGGCCUGACUUUCAGGGCCAAAGUGACAGAAAGGGCCUGUGAUAAGUCCCCCAAUAUGUAUAUGUUCCCAUUUUGUUUCGCUUUGCCCCCUGCAAUGUAAAUACAGAUACUUUGGUAUCAUAGCAUGCAUGCCAUUAGGGUACUGGAGGAAGGUUAGAAAAAGAAUGGCAGGAAGUGGAAGGAGUUUUGCCGGAGUGAGGAAGCAAGAAAGGCGAUGGAAGCUAAGGGAAAGAAUCUAAGACCAUGAGCAGGCCAAGAGCAAGCACAUUAGGCUAGAAAUAUGCAGUGAGUGCUUGCUGUGCCGACUACGGAAGUUGACAAAGGCUAAAGAGAAUCAAGGCUGAAAAAAAAGGAAAGAAACACCUUGAGGAGCAUGGCUUCGAGUAGUCUCAGAAGUCCUUGCUAAAGAGCCUAACCUGCUGGUGGGUAAAAGAGGGAAGAAUAGAAGUUGCUGAGAGAGUUGGCCUCCAUGAUGUGGCUGUCACCUGCAUUUUGCUUAGAUGUGUAUAACCUGUAUCCCUAAACCCCUCACACUGGGCAAGGCAGGCCUUGGUGCGGCCAGCAGGUACUGAGGUAGGGCUGUGGGCUCCCAGAGAGAGGAAUGAGAGCCUCUCCUUAACACUGCGCGUUUGACCUCCCUGCUUCCUUACUGUGAGCUCUGUAAUGACAGCCUCAGGCAGUGAUACAUGGUCUGGUCUCCUCCUCCCAGCUAUUGUUGGGUCAGUGUCUCCAGCCAUGGUUUUCUGAGGGGUCUCUGGUAGCCCGGGAGCUAAUUUGAGCAAGACCACCUUGACCACCAACCUUUGCAGUAUCCAGCUCAAUAGUUUUCAACCUUGGCUAAACAUUAGGAUCACAGCAAGGAUGGGGGGAGGGGAGGGAGCAUGGGCCUCUUGCGAGUCAUGUGACCAGUGCAAUUACACAGGGUCCCAUGCUCAAAAGGGGGCCCCAUGCUGGGGGUUUAAUGCUCCGUGGUUGCCAUUUGAAAUUCUUAGUACUUUUAUCUUUGAACCCCUCUUUUGUAAGUAAAGUCCAGUGGGACAAUAGAGAAUGUACUAGGGGCUUAGAACCUUGCUUCGCGUAUGGUUCCAUCUCCCACUCCUUCCCCAUAUCUUCACGAUGGGUACUUGACUGUCACUCCCUUGAUUCCAGGGGCCAGGACCCUUAUCUUCCCCGCCCCCAUUUGUGUCGCUCCAUCCCCAGCAAGGGCCUCAGUGUGGGGAGGGUCAAGGUCAGUGGGUGAAUCUUGAAGCCCCUUAGGGUGAGGCAUGGCAAUGAUUAUCCUUGCACCUGGGGCUCCCCCAGUGCAUUCUUGUGGGGAGCUGGGAGGUACCUGUAUGCUGUUGGUUGAGGUAGUAGGCUCACAGGAGGGGAGAUGCCUGGCUCAGCUUCCUUGCCCUCUGACAAGGCACAGCAUGUUACUCCAGCCACUAGUAGAAGGAGGGAACCCAACAUUUGUCUGGCCCCAGCACACACAAGUGACACAGGUCAUGUUUCCCAGGUAGGGUUCCCAGGUGCCUAUGAGGGUCUGCCCAUGCCUCACGAGUGCCUCCCCAUGCCCUAGAGAGGGUCCUUUGGACCUAGUCCAUGUCUAGGUGACCCUCUUUUCCUCCUCAUAACUUCCUUGAGUCUGGCUUUGUGUUCAUCUCUCUUGGCCAUCUCAAGACACCUUCCAGGGAUGGGGCGUGAAAUGCAAAUUGUGCAAUUUUGGUGAUUCUGUGUAUGAGUUAAAUGCUCGGAUAUUUGUAUCUAAAACUGGUAUUGUACAACAUAAAGUUGAACAGUAAAAUACAUUAAUAAUUGCAAUUUUAGGGAGUUCCCUUGUGGUGCAGUGGGUUAAGGACUUGGUAUUGUCACUAAAGUGGCUUGGGUUACUUGUGGCGUGAGUUAGAUCCCUUGCCCGGGAAUUUUCGUAUGCUGCUGGCGCAGCCUAAAAAAAUUGAAAUUUUUACUUUUUCUUGACUUAGAAUGACAUCGAAUAGCAAAUAGAAAACACCAGUUGAAAGAAAGACUACAGAAGAAGAGAAAAAUCUUUAUAUUUUAUUACCAUUAAGGAGACUUUUACCCUGCUUUUUGUACAAGGAGUGCUUGUUCAUUUUGCACUGGGCCCCACAAAUUAUGUAUUUAGUCUUGCCUGGGUGUAUAUUUAAAGCAUAUGGUUGCAUCCAACUUAAUUGAUAUUGGAUAGGGCUCUAGGCAUCUGUAUUUUUAAAGGCACCUCAGAGAAUCUGUCAUAAAAAUACAUUACAAAUAAGCAAGAAGGAAAAUCUAGAAUAAACUCUCUGGUACUUGAUUAGAGGCAGAGAUAUCCAUAUGAAAAAAUAUAUAAGCAUAUCUAUAUUCAUGUAUCCAUAUAUAAAUACAUACAUGCAGAGAUAAAUAGAUGCAGAAAUGAAUAUUGAUAUUUGUGUAUACACAGAUUGUUUUACAUGCACGUGUUUCCUAGCUCUGUCUACUGACAGGGCCUAGAAACAGCAACAUUCAAGUAGAAUUGAGCUUGUUUUCCAAAUACUAUUCUCAAGUAAAAAGAACUGGGCCUAGUAAUAAUUUUGGAAGGAAAGAUAUUUGCAUAGCUUAAAAUGGUCACCCCCAGAAUAUUUAUUAAUUGUUAUGGUGGUUUCAACAUAGUCUUUGAUACUCCUCACUACAGGAGGUGGCGAUUAAUGCCCUUACAUUGAAUGUGGGCUAGACUUAGUAAUUCAGUUCUAAUGAAGUAUGGAAAGGGACAGAUAGUGGUUUUACUAUUUACUAUUUAUGUGUUCUAGUUAAUAUGUAAGUAAGUUGAAAGUGAAAGUAGAGGAAGAUAUGCUAUGCAAAUAUUAUUCAAAGGAAAGUGGAAGUGGCUAUAUGACUAUCAGACAAAGUAGAUUUCAGAGCAAAGAAAAUUACUCCUUUGCUCUUUUUCCUGCCUUCUCAGAAUUUAACUGAGGUUUUCUGUGGUUUCAUUUUAUCCCCUCUCUUAGAAUAUCAAUUAUAUCGUAAAAAAUUUUUCUUAGUGGUUGCCCUAGAGUUUGCAAUAUACUUUUUUUUUUUUUUUUUUUUGGCUGUGCCUGCAGAAUUUGGAAGUUCCUGGGCCAGGGAUGGAAUCCUUGCCACAGCAGCAACCCAAGCUGCUACAGUGACAAUGCUGGAUCCUUAACUCUCUGAGCCACAAGAGAACUCUGUAAUAUACAUUUUAAAACGAGGCCAUCCUCAAAUAACACUCUACCACUUUACAUGUAGUACAGGUGCCUUAUAACAGAGUGUUGUUAAAUCUUUUCUAUCCCUUGUGACAUUGCUGUAAUUGAUUUCACUUAUCCAUAUGCUGUAAUUACUAUUGUUAGUAUUAUUGCUUUAAACAGUUAUCUUUAAACCAAGAAUUAGAAAAAAUUAUAUAUUUUAUUUUACCUUGAUUUGUUUCUUCUCUGAAGCUCUUCCUUUCUUUAUGUAGAUCCAAGUUUCUGACCUCUAUCAUUUUUUCUUCCCCUGAAGAACUUCUUUUAACAUUUUGUGCAGGAUCAGUCUGUUUUUAUUUCCCUCUAUUUUUUGUUUUUCUAAAAGACUUUCUCUUUCACUUCUAAAGGAUAAUUUUGCUGGAUCUAGAAUCUGGAUUGGUGUUUUCUUCUUUCAACACUUUAAAUAUUUCACUUCACUCUCUUGUUUGCAUGGCUUCUCAAGAAGUCUGAUAUAAUUCUUAUGCUUGUCCCUUUGUAAGAAGAUUCCCUCACUCUGUCUUCCUUAAAGAUAUUUUCUUUGUAUUUGAUUUUCUAAAGUUGGCUAGAGGGGUUGAUGGAGUGGGAACAAUGCGCUUCCCCAGUUGGGAUAAGGUUCUGGCAAAGUCUUUUUCCUUGUAGAGUUAUGGGGAUGGCUCCUGGCAUAUUUCACAGUGAUUCUUAUUUCCCUCUCUCUGCAAGAUCCACAGGAGGAUCUUAUUCAGAUCUUUCCUGUGAGAAUUUGGUGGAUUUCCUGAAGGGAUGGGGGGUGCCCCUGUGCCUUCAGUCCUUAGAGUUUCUCACUCUCAUAGUAGUCCAUACUCAUCCUCCGGCAGUUUGUAAAAAUGACUGUUUUGGGUGUUUCUACCAGUUUAUGAUUCCAGAGUCUGCUUCUGCAGGUAAGUAAAUUACUGCUGUAUCUCUCUAGAUGUUCCUGAAUCUUCAGCUUUUGGGGGGGGUUCCCUGCAACCUCAGUUUUCUGAUGUGUUCAAGAAAAGUCAUUGAGUUUCAGUUUGUCUAGUUUUUCUGAAAAAAAAAUGAUGGGUGUGAUCACUUCCGAGUUAUUAUCAGAGCUGAAAUCAAAAGACUAUUUCAAAAUUUAUAUGAAAAUGCACAAGUCAUGGAAUAGCUAAACGAUUUUGAAAAAAGAAGAAGAAAGUGGAAGGAAUCAGUCUACCUGGUUUCAAGACUUAUUAUAUGGUUACAUUAAUCAAGACACUGCGCUUUGGCAGAAGUAGAGACACACAGAUCAAUGGAACAGAAUAGAGAGUCCAGAAAUAGAGCCACACAAAUAUGCCUAACUGGUUUUUGACAAAGUUGCAAAAGCAAUUCAGUGAAGAAAGGAUAGCAUUUUCAACAAAUGGUACAGGAGCAAUUGAACAUCCAUAGAUUAAAAAAAAUAAAAGAUAUGUGUGACUGGGUCCCCCUGCUGUACAGUGGGAAAAAAAAUUGUGUUGGGGGGAAAUAACAAUAAAAAAUAAAAAUAAAAAAAA
rnacentral:lncRNA from 1 species